AGUAGUCAUAUGCUUGUCUCAAAGAUUAAGCCAUGCAUGUGUAAGUACGAGCGAAGUACACAGUGAAACUGCGAAUGGCUCAUUAAAUCAGUUGUGGUUCCUUAGAUCGUUGCCCACUACGUGGAUAACUGUGGCAAUUCUAGAGCUAAUACAUGCACUCAAGCCCCGAUCCUCGCGGAGAAGGGCGCAGUUAUUAGACCAAGACCAACGUGCUGGGGACUCCGGUCCCCUCACUCGUCCGUGGUGACUCUGAAUAACUUUGGGCUGAUCGCACGGCCAACGCGCCGGCGACGUAUCUUUCAAAUGUCUGCCCUAUCAAAUGUCGAAGGGACGUGCUAUGCCUCCCUUGUUUGCGACGGGUGACGGGGAAUCAGGGUUCGAUUCCGGAGAGGGAGCAUGAGAAAUGGCUACCACAUCCAAGGAAGGCAGCAGGCGCGCAAAUUACCCACUCCUGACACGGGGAGGUAGUGACGAUAACUAACGAUACGGGACUCAAUCGAGGCUCCGUAAUCGGAAUGAGUACACUUCAAAUCCUUUCGCGAGGAUCCAGUGGAGGGCAAGUCUGGUGCCAGCAGCCGCGGUAAUUCCAGCUCCACUAGCGUAUAUUAAAGUUGUUGCGGUUAAAACGCUCGUAGUUGGAUCUCGAUGGGCUUGGGUACGGAGCCGGCUUAAUGAGGAAAAAGGCGGGGAAAUCGGACCAAUGUACGGGAGGGAUAAUCGCGGUAAUUUCCGCGCCCCCCGGCCCCGGAUACAUGGGUAAUGUGCCGUAAGCUGCUGCGAGCGCUCACGAGAGAUUCAUUCGCCUGAACCCGUGUCCACCAGCAGUGGCCUUGCCCCCGUGGGUUGUCUUCAGUACCCGUCGCUGGCCACCGGCCCAGGCCUUUCUAAAGGGGGUAGAGGGCCCAGGAGCACGGCACCCGUUAGCGCGGGAUCGCGACAGUGCGGGCACCUGCCUGGCGGUAGGCUCGAGAGAGACCCGCGACCGCUGGCUUCCACCGUCCGCCCCAGCACAUGGCUCACCCGGGACAUCGGACCCUUCACUGCGGAGUACCGGCCUGGUGCAGUCGGGGUCACACAGGGCGGGGAGGACCCCCACGUUUACCUUGAGUAAAUAAGAGUGCUCAGAGCAGGCACAGACAUAGCCUAGAUGGCCAAGCUUGGAAUAAUCGAACUCGGCUCCGGCCUUGUUCUGUUGGUCUCCGAGGCUGGCACGCAAUGAUUAAGAGGGACAGAGCGGGGGCGGACGUACCCGGGCGCGAGAGGUGAAAUUCAGAGACCGUCCGGAGACGCACUAACGCGAAAGCAUUCGCCUAGGAUGUUUUCAUUAAUCAAGAACGAAAGUCGGGGGCGCAAAAACGAUCAGAUACCGUUGUAGUUCCGACCUUAAACGAUGCCAACUAGGGACCCCCCAGAGGUUGUCACCGGCCUCAUGGCCGGCCCCAACACGCCCUGGCGGGGGACCACCCGGGAAACCUUUAAGUCUUUAGGUUCCGGGGGUAGUAUGGUUGCAAAGCUGAAACUUAAAGGAAUUGACGGAAGGGCACCACCAGGAGUGGAGCCUGCGGCUUAAUUCGACUCAACACGGGGCAACUCACCGGGCCCGGACACCGUAAGGAUUGACAGACUGAGGGCUCUUUCUUAAUUCGGUGGUUGGUGGUGCAUGGCCGUUCUUAGUUGGUGGAGUGAUCUGUCUGGUUAAUUCCGUUAACGAGCGAGACCCGGGCCUACUUAUUACGCUCUCAUCCUGUGAAUAGGCAUGGGCUCAUUCGUAUACUUCUUAGAGGGACCUGCGUGGUUGCACACGCUAGAAGCCGGGCCAUAACAGGUCUGUGAUGCCCUUCGAUGUUCCGGGCCGCACGCGUGCUACACUGACAGAGACAAGGGGCUCCCCGCCGCGGGACACCAGCCGGCGAAAACCUGGCAACCUCUGUCGUGCUAGGGACUGGGGCUUGAAAUUCUUGCCCAUGAACGAGGAAUUCCGAGUAAUCGCGGGUUAACAACCUGCGUUGAUUACGUCCCUGCCCUUUGUACACACCGCCCGUCGCUACUACCGAUCGAACGAGCCAGUGAAGCUCCCGGACGGGCCCCGGUCCCUGCCUGGUCAUGCGGGUGGGGGCGUCAUGGAAGAUGCCCAAAAGGGAUACGAACUGGGUUGUUAGAGGAAGUAAAAGUCGUAACAAGGUUUCCGUA
rnacentral:rRNA from 1 species